GACGUAGGGCGCGAGCGUUGUCCGGAUUUAUUGGGCGUAAAGAGCUCGUAGGCGGCUUGUCGCGUCGAAUGUGAAAACUCGGGGCUCAACCCCGAGCUUGCAUUCGAUACGGGCAGGCUAGAGUUCGGUAGGGGAGACUGGAAUUCCUGGUGUAGCGGUGAAAUGCGCAGAUAUCAGGAGGAACACCGAUGGCGAAGGCAGGUCUCUGGGCCGAUACUGACGCUGAGGAGCGAAAGCGUGGGGAGCGAACAGG
rnacentral:rRNA from 1 species